CGGGACCUCUCAGGCCUCCCGGCUCCGCCGCAGACCUUCCCGCGCAGGCCCACUCGGGUUCCAGCCGCUGCCUGGGACGGCGAAGGGCCGGCCCGGGCGGUUCUUCCCCAGGCCCUCCGGGGCGUCCCGGGGCGUCCCGGGCCGCACCGGCCUGGCCCCAUGGCCCCGGGGAAGGCGUUGAGCCAGGGACCACUGUCCGAGCGGCUUGCCCCGGCCCGGCCGGGCGCGGCGCCACAUCCCCGCCAGCCCGGGUGGCAGCUCGGGAAGCCUGUUAUAUGGCGUCUUCCACGUCCAUUUUCACACCGACAAUGGUGACGCUAAGGAACUUACACCUCGGCUGAGCCCCGCCGCCCACUCCCCGGGCACGGGAGCUGCUCACAGGCCUGGGAUCCGCGAGCGGCCGAGCUUCCUUCUCUGCGCGUGGGCAGGUGAGCCAGAGGCUGGCACGUGGGCCUGUGCGUCCCCCAGCCCUGGCCCCGCCGCCUCCGUACCAGGGGAGCAACUGGAGGGCGCCGCUGCCUCUCUCUCCACACGUGCGCACUUGCCUCUAGGAACUGCAAGAAGACUAUCUCAAGGAAGUGGGCUUAUAGAUUAAAGAAUUUGUGUUAAGCGCCAAAAAAAAAAAAUGUGGAAUGAAAGUGUAUUUACUGACAUCUCAAAAUGAUUAUAAUCAUAACACUGGGGCCAUCUUGGCCAUUUGUCAGAAAUCCAGAAGUCAAGAUUCCAUGGAUGGGAAUAUCUCUUUUGACCACCAGCGGGGGAAGAAAAUAAAAAAGUCUGAAGCAACCAUAAAGCUUACCUUUUUCCUCCAAUGUAACCAAGAAGACUCAUCCUAUUUUGUGUACCCACAAAAGCUACAAGAUCCAUCAAUGGAAAUUAGUUUACGAAAUCUAGAAUUGUAGAAGUGAUAUUAAAGAAUCUCAAGGAAUUCCUUCUUAGACUGAAAUUUAAGAUUUUCCUGACUGUGCUCUCAGAGUAUCACCCCUUAACAAGAAGGUUCUUCAUUUAUAUAGUAUGAUGUCCAAAAAUGGCUAUCAUUCUUUUAAAUCAUACAAAAGUAUUAAUGAAAAGUAUUAAGAGUUUUAUUGCAAUAAUUUGCUCCAUUCAAACCAUUAAAACUG